rnacentral:lncRNA from 1 species
GGGGUGGUGAGGUUGGGCACAAGAUGCUUCCUAAAAGGUUGUUGGCACGCAGACCAUGGCCCCAGUGACGGAGCGGUAGGCAGGGGCUUGAGGAACACGCUGUCUUUGUCUCGUCCCCAAAGCACCCGGCCGUGGGUCACCCGUGAUCCCUGGAGUGGAGGGACUGUUGUGACCCCUGGUGCUCCAGGAGAAGGGGUUCCAUGCUGGGUCCCGGGCCCAGGCCCACGGUGCCCUCAGCCUGCAGUUCUCCACCUUGCGGAAUGAUUUGCUGGCCCGGCCCAGCUCCCCGGCACCACCAUUUUCUGCCCUCUUUUCCCUGCCUGGCUUCAAACCCUCCCAGGCAAGGGUCCCGAGGAGACACCUGGGCUGGGGGAGGCAACUGAGUGGCCCCAGGCCUGGGAAUCUGCAAAAGUGGCCAAGCCACAUCUCUCGAGACUGCAAGGGCCCUGGAGGCGCUGGGAGGCACAGAUCUGGCUGCCAGCUGGGCCUGAGGCCUCCCUUUGUCCGUCCUUCCUGUUCUUCCUCACCAGACAUGAUCCUCUCUGAGGUUGGUCCUGGGCUUCCAUACGUGAUUCAUGGAAGAGGUCUCAGCCCCAAGAGCCCCUGAGGGUACUGUCCACUCCCCCUGGAAACUUCCAGAACCUGACGUGGGGCUGAAGACAUAGAGGCCUAGGAUGGUCAGCCUCGCACGCUCCACAGCAGAGUGACUGAAGCUCUAUCGAGGUGUGGCACGAGCGUGUUGUCAUUUCAAGAGAAUCUGCAGCCUCCCUGGUUUUUAAUGAAAGCUCCUAUGCAGGGCCUGGCCCUUUCCUGGGGAGGGAAGGCUGGCUGUGUCUCCCGCUGCAUCCUCACUGGGAACUUCAUUCCUGAGCUGCGACCGCUAUUUUUUGGAUUGGAAAAUGCCUUGGGAACGGCUCAUCUUCCUGCGGCUUGAGCCCAU